GAUUAGAGGGUCCCACAUCAAUUGGAGAAAGGAACGAGUGCCAAUAAGAACGUUGGGCCCCGAAGGGGAUAGAUUGUAGGAUCACACAAUCAGGCGGGGAGGAGAACGAAGCAUUCUUUAUAAGGGUGUGAAAAAUUUCUUUAGCAAACACGUUUUAAAAACCUCGAGAGGAAUCCUAAACAGGACAAUAUCUAUUAGCGGUGGACUUAAGUUGUUACAAGAAAAUUCUUUCUCGGAGUAUUCCAAUUGUAAUUAUGAGACUGAACCAAAGCAAAAUUCAUUGUACCACCUCGUGUGAAGUACAGGAUUCCUCUCAGAUGGGCCAGUAGAAAAGAUAGUUAUCUGUAAAUAUUACUGAUGAGGAAGUCCUUUCUUCAGGAAGCUUGACCAAGAGGAUAAUGAUGAUGUAGGAAGAGAAGAUAUCAUUUCAUUCUGACUCUUCCAUGUUUGAAGGCAUAGAAGAUUACUCCCACCACAUUGGAGGGAUGAUUGGGCCAAUAAAUGCAUCUAAUAUCAUACAGGAUAACUCUGGCUCAAGUCCAUCCCUAUGUAGCGAAGGCCAUUGUGUCGAAUCUCAAUAUUAUCAACCUAUUGAAGACUGCAAUCAUUGGAACAAAAAGCUCUAGGUGGGUACUUGUGGAAGAGAGGACACGGCCUUCUAGAGCUAACAUAAACAAGAGUGAACUUGAAAUCACCUGAAGAGACUUGAUGAUGACGAUCCUUCGCCCUCAUAUAACAUGCUACGUGUCACAAUUGCACUAUUGCAACAGUAGGACAGCGAUUGUGUGACAUUUGUUCUAACCCAGCGAACAUGUCGGCUAUGUGAACACUUCGAGGACAAUAACGGCGUAUGCUCGAGCCUCGGAUCAUGUUUGAGAGAAAUGUACAUUUUGGGGCAUUUGAUAGCA